AGAGAUGUCCUGAGGGGUGCUCUUGGAACGCACUCAGGGAGGAAAGCUAACACACAAUGAACAGUUUCUGAUGGGUUCUCAGGAAGAUCUUCACAUAGUAACAGGGACCCUGGUCUGGUUCACAGAAGCAUCAUCGGAAACAGUGUGGCUACUCUUCACUUGGACCAUGUCAUCUGAAAGCUACCAGAGAUUAGAUGGUGAUCUUCCUCUGAGGCUCAAAUAGCCAUUGGAAAGUCAAUGCCCUUUGUUACAUCCUGACAAGAAAGCACUGUCUGAGGAGGAGCUACUGUUUCUUAUCUUCAUCAAGCAUAGUCGCUUUUGAAGGAGACUUGUCUCCCUUUGAAUGCUGCUAACAUCAUCCAAGACAAGGUUGGAAAGAAUGGAUGGACAUAGUGGUUCUUCUCUCAUUUUGUUCCCAUUAGAGAUUAUUUUGGAGAGAGUUCUGAUCUUCACUAACAAUUCUGCUAAGCAAAUGAACCCCAACUCAUCAACCAAAAAUUCACAGCCUGCAUUUGCUAUGGUGUUUCUUCUUGCCUAGUUAGAGAUUGCAAAUUCAGCAAGGGUUCCAGAAGACUGGCGAAUCUCUGCAACUUGCUAUUUUUUCCUUAACAUUUCUACCAAGACAUGCCAAAACUCCUGGAACCUAAAGAGAAGAGUUCUGUGUCACAUCAAACACUUCUGGUGUGCACAGAGUGAGAAAAUCACACACCCUGACUGGGAUUCAGGGUAGAGAAAGGGCCCCUGCUGGGUGACCCCCUUUUCUCUUUUAUUACAUGUAAAUUUUGCUUACUUAGCUCCUCAAUUGGAACAAGAUGAGGGUUUGCUUUACAAUUACUUCCUAAGUGAAACUUGGUGGAACCAGAGGCUUUGGGGAUACCUGUUUCCUACCAGGUCUCUGCCCCUUCCUUUCUGCUAAAUAUUGCUAACCUAGUAGGUUGCUAAUGUGCUGGGUGAUCUGAUCUCUAGCAGUCUAUCUGUAAUCAAUGACCUAUUUUUUUUAAAUAAGCUUUGAGAUGAUAUUAUGAGAAGAAGAGCUUGGAUGGUUUUAGGGAAAUAUUUGAGUCAGGGAAAACAUCCGUGAUAAAACCAUACCAUUGGGUAAUUAAUAAGUGUCCUAAUCAGAGCCCUAGAAGAACAAGGGAAAUCAUUUCACCAAAAUUGGAUAAUUCAUUCCAGAAUCUGAAGGGCAUGUCCUUUUGUAUGUAUGCUUCUCUUAUUGGUUUAACGAGACACUGAUUGCCCAGUAGCUAGGCAUGAGGUAUGGGCAGGGAUACCAGAUGAGGAGAAUUCUGGGGAGAGUACAAGGAGAGUGAGCUGAUAGAGAGAUGCUACAUAGCCAUGGGGAUAUAAUACACUGGGCACUCUCCGGUAAGAUAAGGUCAUGCAAAAAUACAUAGAUUAAUAGUUAUGGAUUAAUCAUUACGAGAGAGGUAGCCAAAUAAGAAGCCUAAGCCAUAAGUCAAACAGUUUAUAAUUAAUAUAAAUCUCUGUGUGUUUAUUUGGGGCUAAAUGGCUGUGGGACCAGGUGGGACAAAAACUCCACCUACAAGAAUCCAUUCUGAAUGAAUGACUCCAUAGUGUUCAAGAUGCAGAAAGCUGCUUACUACACAUGUAUAUCUGAGCCACUUUCUUUGUGAAGGAUGGAGCUAGCGAUUUCUUGUUCUGGGGCAAUGAAGGCAAGCAUGCUUACAAAGGUAUUCCCAAUCAGCGGUGUAGAGGGGCCUGGAAGGGUGUGUGGAUACUAUUAUAGUAAGUGCUAGGUGCUGAAUCAUGUCUCCAUACUGCCACUCACCCUCUGGGGCCUUUCAAGUUCCAUACUUCCAAUAGUCUACUUUUCCUAAAGAUGGCGGCUCUGUUAUAUCACCUUCCAGCUCCUUUCUGGUCCUGACUAUUGAAUGUUUGCUGAAACGCUUCAAA